UACGGAGGGUGCAAGCGUUAUCCGGAUUCACUGGGUUUAAAGGGUGCGUAGGUGGGCAGUUAAGUCAGUGGUGAAAUCUCCGGGCUCAACCCGGAAACUGCCAUUGAUACUAUCUGUCUUGAAUAUCGUGGAGGUAAGCGGAAUAUGUCAUGUAGCGGUGAAAUGCUUAGAUAUGGCAUAGAACACCAAUUGCGAAGGCAGCUUACUACCCGAAUAUUGACACUGAGGCACGAAAGCGUGGGGAUCAAACAGG
rnacentral:rRNA from 1 species